rnacentral:pre_miRNA from 1 species
UUUUUAGUAAAAAUAUGUCCCAUAAAAUAUUUGGGACAUACUUGUGCUAAAA